rnacentral:lncRNA from 1 species
UUCAUCCGCCCUCAAAUAGGAUAUGUUGGUUUCAGUCUUUUUAUUUUAAGUGUUGAAGUUGGGAGCCCGCCCAGAUAACAGAGGCAUACAUUUCCUUCCUAAAGUUUAUUUUUACCCAUAGGAGACGCACUUCCUAAAUCCAUUGUACCAGUAGGAGACGCACUUCCUAAAAAGUUUCACCAGUAGGAGACGCACUUCCUAAGUUGAUUUCACCGAUAGGAGACGCACAUCCUAAGUUAAGUUCGCCGAUAGGAGACGCACUUCCUAAAAAAGUUUCACCGAUAGGAGACGCACUUCCUAGAUCCAUUGUACCAAUAGGAGACACACUUCCUAAGAAUAGUUUCACCCAGUAGGAGACGCACUUCCUAAGAAUAGUUUCACCCAGUAGGAGACGCACUACCUAAGAACAGUUAUCCCCAAUAGGAGACGCACUUCCUAAGUUUAUUGUACCCAUAGGAGAAGCACUUCCUCAAAGUUAAGUUUUACCCAUAGGAGAUGCAUUUCCUCCUAAGUUGUUUUUGAAAAAAAAAAGCAAGCAAAAUCUUAGUCUGAUGAAUCUUUCUCCUAAGAUAACCAAAAACAAAAAAUCUUAGUCUGAUGAAUCUUUCUCCUAAGAUAACCAAAAAAAAGACCUAGUCUGAUGAACCUUCUCCUAGGAUCAAAAUCUUAGUCCGAUGAAUU